CCCUUAGAUGUUCUGGGCCGCACGCGCGCUACACUGACGAAUGCAACGAGCUUAUAACCUUGGCCGAAAGGUCUGGGUAAUCUCCAAAUUUCGUCGUGAUGGGGAUAGAUUAUUGCAAUUAUUAAUCUUCAACGAGGAAUGCCUAGUAAGCGCAAGUCAUCAGCUUGCGUUGAUUACGUCCCUGCCCUUUGUACACACCGCCCGUCGCUCCUACCGAUUGAAUGGUCCGGUGAAGCGCUCGGACCGCGGCCUCUUGACGGGUCUCCGUCGAUUGGCUGUGGGAAGUUCGUUAAACCUUAUCAUUUAGAGGAAGGAGAAGUCGUAACA
rnacentral:rRNA from 1 species